UAGGGAAUAUUGGUAAUGUGCGAAAGCGCGAACCAGCAACGCCGCGUGCACGAUGAAGGCCUUCGGGUUGUAAAGUGCUUUUAGAGAGGAUGAGGAAGGACAGUACUUUCUGAAUAAGCCUCGGCUAACUACGUGCCAGCAGCCGCGGUAAAACGUAGGAGGCUAGCGUUAUCCGGAUUUACUGGGCGUAAAGCGCGUGCAGGUGGUUUCGUAAGUUGGAUGUGAAAGCUCCUGGCUUAACUGGGAGAGGUCGUUCAAAACUGCGAGGCUUGAGAGUGGUAGAGGGAGGUGGAAUUCCGGGUGUAGUGGUGAAAUGCGUAGAUAUCCGGAGGAACACCAGUGGCGAAAGCGGCCUCCUGGACCAUUUCUGACACUCAGACGCGAAAGCUAAGGUAGCAAA
rnacentral:rRNA from 1 species